UUGCUCUUCAACGAGGAAUUCCUAGUAAGCGCAAGUCAUCAGCUUGCGCUGAUUACGUCCCUGCCCUUUGUACACACCGCCCGUCGCUACUACCGAUUGAAUGGCUAAGUGAGGCUUUCGGACUGGCCUGGGGAGAGUGGUAACACUCACCUUGGGCCGGAAAGUUGUCCAAACUUGGUCAUUUAGAGGAAGUAAAAGUCGUAACAAGGUUUCCGUAGGUGAACCUGCGGAAGGAUCAUUACAGAGUGUGAUGCCAUAUGGAACUCAGUUUCGUGUGGUUGACCCUCCACCCGUGUCGAUUAUCUCAUGUUGCUUUGGCGGACUCGGCUUGCCCGCGCCCACUUUGGUGGGGGAAUGUCCGCCAGGGAAGACCAAAACUCUUGUUAUCAGUGAUGUCUGAGGAUGAUAUAUAAUCAUGAAAACUUUCAACAACGGAUCUCUUGGCUCUGGCAUCGAUGAAGAACGCAGCGAAAUGCGAUAAGUAAUGUGAAUUGCAGAAUUUAGUGAAUCAUCGAAUCUUUGAACGCACAUUGCGCCCCUGGGAAUUCCCAGGGGCAUGCCUGUUCGAGCGUCCGUAACAACCUCUCAAGCCUGGCUUGGUCUUGGGACACGCUGCUCUAGCGGCGGUCCUUAAAAGCAGUGGCGGGCCUAUGUAACUCUCCGCGUAGUAAUAUACAUCUCGCGAUAGAGAAGCAGAAGGACUUGCCAAAAAUCCUUAAUUGCUCAGGUUGACCUCGAAUCAGGUAGGGAUACCCGCUGAACUUAAGCAUAUCAAUAAGCGGAGGA
rnacentral:rRNA from 1 species